GCAAAACGCGAAGAACCUUACCACCUUUUGACAUGCCUGGACCGCCACGGAGAUGUGGCUUUCCCUUCGGGGACUAGGACACAGGUGCUGCAUGGCUGUCGCCAGCUCGUGUCGUGAGAUGUUGGGUUAAGUCCCGCAACGAGCGCAACCCUCGCCAUUAGUUGCCAUCAUUUAGUUGGGAACUCUAAUGGGACUGCCGGUGCUAAGCCGGAGGAAGGUGGGGAUGACGUCAAGUCCUCAUGGCCCUUACAGGGUGGGCUACACACGUGCUACAAUGGUAACUACAGAGGGUUAAUCCUUAAAAGUCGUCUCAGUUCGGAUUGUCCUCUGCAACUCGAGGGCAUGAAGUUGGAAUCGCUAGUAAUCGCGGAUCAGCAUGCCGCGGUGAAUACGUUCCCGGGUCUUGUACACACCG
rnacentral:rRNA from 1 species